AGUCAUCAUGGACACCCUCCAGCCCGGCUUCCCUUCUCUCUGAAAUCCUCCCUGCUUUGACAAAACUGUCAGGGUCUAGCCAAGCCAGGCUGGCCCCAGGCCUAUGCCUUGGCCGUCUCAUCUUGCCACUUCCAGGAGGCGAUGACUCUAAGGAGGAAAGAAAUGGCGCUUCCUCCCCGCUUCCCCCAUUCAUGCUUCCCUGAACUCCUUCUUCGAGACUAGAUUGAUAUUCAUUUUAGCCUUGUCAGUCUAUGACGAUACUUACUUCUGAACACAAAUCGAGGGAGGGAGGGAGAAGAGUCACACACAUCUGCCCUGGCCUCUCCUGCUCCAGGGCAGCCCUGCACCCUAUAUGCUGCUGCCUCAGGCAGAGCCCUGGAAAAUAUGUCAUUUGUGUUUUUGGGGAAUGUUUGGACCUACUUACCCUCCUGGAAAUGAUAAAAGUUCACAAAAUUUGGAGGAAGAAGAGGCGAGAACGAUCCCCGAACCGAGCAAAGCCCGCGCGCCGCUGCAUCCUGCGCCCAGUGCCUACGUCUCAAUGCCAUCGUCGCCGCCACCAUGACCAAGAGAAAGGCUGAAGGGGAUGCUAAAGGAGAUAAAGCCAAGACGAAGGACGAACCACAGAAAAGAUCCGCGAGGUUGUCUGCUAAACCUGCUUUUCCAAAGCCGGAGCCCAAGCCUAAAAUGGCCCCUGCAAAGAAGGGAGAGAAGGUACCCAAAGGGAAAAAGGGAAAAGCUGAUGCUGGCAAGGAGGGAAUAGCCCUGCAGAAAAUGAAGAUGCCAAAACAGAUCAGGCACAGAAAGCUGAAGGUGCUGGAGAUGCCAAGUGAAGUGUGUGCAUUUUUGAUAACUGUGUACAUCUGGUGACUAUACAGUUUGAAAUACUAUUUUUUAUCAAGAUUUAUAAAAAUGCAGAAUUUUAUUUUACUUUUUUUUUUUAAGCUACGUUGUUAGCACACAGAACACUUCAUUGUUGUUUUUAGGGGAAGGGGCAUACGUCACUAAUAGAAUGACUCCGAAGCUGGAUUGAUAUGGGGAAAACACCUUUCCCUUCUAGUUUUUAGAGACUUCCUUUUGGCUCCCAGGAGGAGGGAUUCCCUGGCUUUGAUACACAUGGCCACCUUGGCACAAAAGGCUUGCGGUAUGGAAAAACAAAUUUAUUUUUAUGUCCUCUUCUCCCUUUCCAUCUUUCAGCAUAGACUUAACUCCCUUAAGCCCAGACGUCUGUUGGGACCUGACCCCUAGUCAUUGGUUACCAGUGUCAGGCAAUCUGGACUUUCCAGAUGCCACUGAGAUGGCACCUGUCAAAAGAGCAGUGGUUCCAUUUCUAGAUUGUGAAUCUUCAGAUAAAUUCUGCCAUUUUCAUUUCACUUCCUGAAAGUCAAGGUUGGUUUGUGAAAAGUUAACAGCAUGCUGAAUGUGAAAUAUCAACCCUCACUCUAAACUUUCCCUGUUCAGAGCAUCAGAUGAAGACUUCAUUGGGUUUUAUACUGGCUUUCUUUUUGGUAGUCCACUGAAGAAUCCAGGGAGUUUGAAAGUUGUUGUAUACUGUUAAUGAUUGUCUGCCCAUGUCCUGCCUGAAAUACCAUGACUGUUUAUGGAAAGUAUCUUUAAUAAAGCUGGAUACAGUUUGGCUUGGAAAAAAAAAGUUCACAAAAUUUGCAGCCUGACAAUGCAAUAGAAAAAGAAAAACUCGCUCUUGGCUUUCGGCUUGGAGGAGGCCAAGGUGCAACUUUCUUCGGUUGUCCCGAAUCCGGGUUCAUCUGACACCAGCCGCCUCCACCAUGCCGCCAAAGUUCGACCCCAACGAGAUCAAAGUCAUAUACCUGAGGUGCACCGGAGAUGCCACUUCUGCCCUGGCCCCCAAGAUCGGCCCCCUGGGUCUGUCUCCAAAAAACGUUGGUGGUGACAUUGCCAAGGCAACGGGUGACUGGAAGGGCCUGAGGAUUACAGUGAAACUGACCAUUCAGAACAGACAGGCCCAGAUUGAGGUGGUGCCUUCUGCCUCUGCCCUGAUCAUCAAAGCCCUCAAGGAACCACCAGAGACAGAAAGAAACAGAAAAACAUUAAACACAGUGGGAAUAUCACUUUUGAUGAGAUCGUCAACCUUGCUCGACAGAUGGAGCACCGAUCCUUAGCCAGAGAACUCUCUGGAACCAUUAAAGAGAUCCUGGGGACUGCCCAGUCUCUGUGGGUUGUAAUGUUGAUGGCCGCCACCCUCAUGACAUCAUAGAUGACAUCAACAGUGGUGCUGUGGAAUGCCCAGCUAGUUAAGCACAAAGGAAAAUAUUUCAAUAAAGGAUCAUUUGACAACUAGUG
ensembl:lncRNA novel transcript